UACGGAGGGUGCUAGCGUUGUUCGGAAUCACUGGGCGUAAAGGGCGUGUAGGCGGUCUGUUAAGUCUGAUGUGAAAUCCCCUCGCUCAACCGAGGGAACUGCGUCGGAUACUGGCAGACUUGAGUACCGGAGAGGAAGGUGGAAUUCCCGGUGUAGCGGUGAAAUGCGUAGAUAUCGGAAGGAACAUCAGUGGCGAAAGCGACUUCCUGGUCCAGCAUCGACGUCAGGCACGAAAGCGUGGGGAGCAAACAGG
rnacentral:rRNA from 1 species